rnacentral:rRNA from 1 species
UACGUAGGGUGCGAGCGUUGUCCGGAAUUAUUGGGCGUAGAGAGCUCGUAGGCGGUCUGUCGCGUCGGUCGUGAAAACUUGGGGCUUAACCCUGAGCUUGCGGUCGAUACGGGCAUGACUGGAGUUCGGCAGGGGAGACUGGAAUUCCUGGUGUAGCGGUGAAAUGCGCAGAUAUCAGGAAGAACACCCGUGGCGAAAGCGGCUCUCUGGAACGGUACUGACGCUGAGACGCGAAAGCGUGGGGAGCGAACAGG